UUAAGCGACUAAGCGUACACGGUGGAUGCCCUGGCAGUCAGAGGCGAUGAAGGACGUGCUAAUCUGCGAUAAGCGUCGGUAAGGUGAUAUGAACCGUUAUAACCGGCGAUUUCCGAAUGGGGAAACCCAGUGUGAUUCGUCACACUAUCAUUAACUGAAUCCAUAGGUUAAUGAGGCGAACCGGGGGAACUGAAACAUCUAAGUACCCCGAGGAAAAGAAAUCAACCGAGAUUCCCCCAGUAGCGGCGAGCGAACGGGGAGCAGCCCAGAGCCUGAAUCAGUGUGUGUGUUAGUGGAAGCGUCUGGAAAGGCGCGCGAUACAGGGUGACAGCCCCGUACACAAAAAUGCACAUAUUGUGAGCUCGAUGAGUAGGGCGGGACACGUGGUAUCCUGUCUGAAUAUGGGGGGACCAUCCUCCAAGGCUAAAUACUCCUGACUGACCGAUAGUGAACCAGUACCGUGAGGGAAAGGCGAAAAGAACCCCGGCGAGGGGAGUGAAAAAGAACCUGAAACCGUGUACGUACAAGCAGUGGGAGCACGCUUAGGCGUGUGACUGCGUACCUUUUGUAUAAUGGGUCAGCGACUUAUAUUCUGUAGCAAGGUUAACCGAAUAGGGGAGCCGAAGGGAAACCGAGUCUUAACUGGGCGUUAAGUUGCAGGGUAUAGACCCGAAACCCGGUGAUCUAGCCAUGGGCAGGUUGAAGGUUGGGUAACACUAACUGGAGGACCGAACCGACUAAUGUUGAAAAAUUAGCGGAUGACUUGUGGCUGGGGGUGAAAGGCCAAUCAAACCGGGAGAUAGCUGGUUCUCCCCGAAAGCUAUUUAGGUAGCGCCUCGUGAAUUCAUCUCCGGGGGUAGAGCACUGUUUCGGCAAGGGGGUCAUCCCGACUUACCAACCCGAUGCAAACUGCGAAUACCGGAGAAUGUUAUCACGGGAGACACACGGCGGGUGCUAACGUCCGUCGUGAAGAGGGAAACAACCCAGACCGCCAGCUAAGGUCCCAAAGUCAUGGUUAAGUGGGAAACGAUGUGGGAAGGCCCAGACAGCCAGGAUGUUGGCUUAGAAGCAGCCAUCAUUUAAAGAAAGCGUAAUAGCUCACUGGUCGAGUCGGCCUGCGCGGAAGAUGUAACGGGGCUAAACCAUGCACCGAAGCUGCGGCAGCGACGCUUAUGCGUUGUUGGGUAGGGGAGCGUUCUGUAAGCCUGUGAAGGUGUACUGUGAGGUAUGCUGGAGGUAUCAGAAGUGCGAAUGCUGACAUAAGUAACGAUAAAGCGGGUGAAAAGCCCGCUCGCCGGAAGACCAAGGGUUCCUGUCCAACGUUAAUCGGGGCAGGGUGAGUCGACCCCUAAGGCGAGGCCGAAAGGCGUAGUCGAUGGGAAACAGGUUAAUAUUCCUGUACUUGGUGUUACUGCGAAGGGGGGACGGAGAAGGCUAUGUUGGCCGGGCGACGGUUGUCCCGGUUUAAGCGUGUAGGCUGGUUUUCCAGGCAAAUCCGGAAAAUCAAGGCUGAGGCGUGAUGACGAGGCACUACGGUGCUGAAGCAACAAAUGCCCUGCUUCCAGGAAAAGCCUCUAAGCAUCAGGUAACAUCAAAUCGUACCCCAAACCGACACAGGUGGUCAGGUAGAGAAUACCAAGGCGCUUGAGAGAACUCGGGUGAAGGAACUAGGCAAAAUGGUGCCGUAACUUCGGGAGAAGGCACGCUGAUAUGUAGGUGAAGUCCCUCGCGGAUGGAGCUGAAAUCAGUCGAAGAUACCAGCUGGCUGCAACUGUUUAUUAAAAACACAGCACUGUGCAAACACGAAAGUGGACGUAUACGGUGUGACGCCUGCCCGGUGCCGGAAGGUUAAUUGAUGGGGUUAGCGCAAGCGAAGCUCUUGAUCGAAGCCCCGGUAAACGGCGGCCGUAACUAUAACGGUCCUAAGGUAGCGAAAUUCCUUGUCGGGUAAGUUCCGACCUGCACGAAUGGCGUAAUGAUGGCCAGGCUGUCUCCACCCGAGACUCAGUGAAAUUGAACUCGCUGUGAAGAUGCAGUGUACCCGCGGCAAGACGGAAAGACCCCGUGAACCUUUACUAUAG
rnacentral:rRNA from 1 species